rnacentral:rRNA from 1 species
AAAGGAAUUGACGGGCACUCGCACAAGCAGAGGAGCGCGUGGUUUAAUUCGACGGCAAUCGAAGAACCUUACCAGGGUUUGAAAUGUAUCUGCAUGCCCUAUGAAAAUAGGGAGGCCUUCGAGGGUGAUACACAGGUGCUGCAUGGCCGUCGUCAGCUCGUGUCGUGAGAUGUAGGGUUAAGUCCCGAAACGAGCGCAACCCCUAUCCUAUGUUACAAGUGUCUUAGGAAACCGCUUCGGUAAAACGAGGAGGAAGGUGGGGAUGACGUCUGGUCCGCAUAGCCCUUAUGUCCUGGGCUACACACACGCUACAAUGGCCAAUACAAUGGGAAGCCAAACCGCAAGGUGGAGCUGAUCCUCAAAAUUGGUCUCAGUUCGGAUUGAGGUCUGAAACUCGACCUCAUGAAGGUGGAUUUGCUAGUAAUCGUGAAUCAGCCAUGUCACGGUGAAUACGUUCUCGAGUGUUGCACACACCGCCCGU